GGAGGAGUUGCGAACGGGUGAGUAACGCGUAGGUAACCUGCCUCUUAGCGGGGGAUAACUAUUGGAAACGAUAGCUAAUACCGCAUAAAAGUCGACAUUGCAUGAUGUUGACUUGAAAGGUGCAACUGCAUCACUAAGAGAUGGACCUGCGUUGUAUUAGCUAGUUGGUGAGGUAACGGCUCACCAAGGCGACGAUACAUAGCCGACCUGAGAGGGUGAUCGGCCACACUGGGACUGAGACACGGCCCAGACUCCUACGGGAGGCAGCAGUAGGGAAUCUUCGGCAAUGGACGGAAGUCUGACCGAGCAACGCCGCGUGAGUGAAGAAGGUUUUCGGAUCGUAAAGCUCUGUUGUAAGAGAAGAACGAGUGUGAGAGUGGAAAGUUCACACUGUGACGGUAACUUACCAGAAAGGGACGGCUAACUACGUGCCAGCAGCCGCGGUAAUACGUAGGUCCCGAGCGUUAUCCGGAUUUAUUGGGCGUAAAGCGAGCGCAGGCGGUUAGAUAAGUCUGAAGUUAAAGGCUGCGGCUUAACCAUAGUACGCUUUGGAAACUGUUUAACUUGAGUGCAGAAGGGGAGAGUGGAAUUCCAUGUGUAGCGGUGAAAUGCGUAGAUAUAUGGAGGAACAC
rnacentral:rRNA from 1 species